ACGAAGAAACCGUUCUACGGAAGCCCAGUUGAGACAACUUGAGACAGGAUUCAGAAACGCUGAUUUUAGUAACCUUAACCCUCGGCCUUUGGUGGGAACUUCGGCUCUGUGGGAAUUAGUCUUUGCGGGACUGAUGGUGAUGCUGAAAUCUUAUUGCGUAGGAAAUUAAGUACAACAAAGAAGACCCGUCGUGAGAGGAGAGUGCGGAAGAAAUGCGAAGUCUACGGGAGGUGGCAGCUGCAGAAGCUUGGUGUUGGAUUUGGAGUUAGGAGACCGGGAGGAGCCCAGCUUCCGGUCCAGACGGUUAUCUUGUUGACUUGCACGACUGCAAACGCCCUGAGCUGCUUUUGCAGUCUGAAACAUCAGCGAUCCCAUCAAAAUAUUCUGUUUCUUGGGAUAUAAGAAACAUCCCAAGGCGGGCUGUAGAGCGAGAGAUUUGGACUCGAUUUAAAUACAGACAAAAUAGUAUGCAUUUACUAACACCACAUCUCACCCCCACGAAACUUGGUAAGGGCAGCAACAGAACUUUAUCUGCCAUAUGCACUCCUGUAUUCCUAUUACCAAAUAGUGCCAGGGACUAAGUGAAUAUUUGCCCAAUGAAUGAGUUUUAAGUAGGAAACGUUUGCAUAGAAUCAUUUUGUUUCUUUUGGAGUUCAAAUCUUCGGAUAUUUUACCCUUCCCAAUCCAAAGAAAAGUCUCUGAGUGAAGAGAUGGGAACAAAAUAAAUUAAAAUGUAUUCAGUGGAACUCACAGUUUAAAAUUCUAUGUUUCUGAUGAACUCUAACAUUCCAAUGUUGCCUUCUAAGCAAACUGAAAGCUGCCUUAUACUGAAUGAGGAAGAGCACAAAUACUCGGCUGAAUGAGGUAUCGCAAAAGACUGCAUGCACUUUGGAGAAAGACUUGAGUUAUUGUCAUACAAUUUCCAUUCUUUUUAGCUUUUUCUUAAAUAUAUGACAAAUACCUACACAAA
ensembl:lncRNA ARHGAP11B-DT ARHGAP11B divergent transcript